rnacentral:rRNA from 1 species
ACGAACGCUGGCGGCGUGCCUCAUACAUGCAAGUCGAGCGAAGUUUUUCUGGUGCUUGCACCGGAAAAACUUAGCGGCGAACGGGUGAGUAACACGUAAAGAACCUGCCUCAUAGACUGGGACAACUAUUGGAAACGAUAGCUAAUACCGGAUAACAGCAUUAACUGCAUGGUUGAUGUUUAAAAGUUGGUUUUGCUAACACUAUGAGAUGGCUUUGCGGUGCAUUAGCUAGUUGGUGGGGUAAAGGCCUACCAAGGCGACGAUGCAUAGCCGACCUGAGAGGGUGAUCGGCCACACUGGGACUGAGACACGGCCCAGACUCCUACGGGAGGCAGCAGUAGGGAAUCUUCCGCAAUGGGCGAAAGCCUGACGGAGCAACGCCGCGUGAGUGAAGAAGGAUUUCGGUUCGUAAAGCUCUGUUGUUAGGGAAGAAUGAUUGUGUAGUAACUAUACACAGUAGAGACGGUACCUAACCAGAAAGCCACGGCUAACUACGUG